GGCUCUCUGGUGCAAUGAGUAACACAUUGGACUCAAGGUAUUCAAAGGUUGUGGGUUCAAGUCCCACCAGAGUCG